GGGGGUUUAGCUCAGCAGUACAGUGCCCAUCUGGCAAGUGUGAGGUCCUGAGUUCAAUUCCCAGUACCCUCU
rnacentral:tRNA from 1 species